UUGGAGGGCAAGUCUGGUGCCAGCAGCCGCGGUAAUUCCAGCUCCGAUAGCGUAUAUUAAAGUUGUUGCAGUUAAAAAGCUCGUAGUUGAAUUUCGGGGUCAGUAGGUUGGUCAUGCCACUGGUAUGUACUGAUCUUACUGAUUCCUCCUUCCUGAUGAACCGUAAUGCCAUUAAUUUGGUGUUGCGGGGAGACUGGACUGUUACUUUGAAAAAAUUAGAGUGUUUAAAGCAGGCUAACGCUUGAAUACAUUAGCAUGGAAUAAUGAAAUAGGACGUUCGAUCCUAUUUUGUUGGUUUCUAGGAUAGACGUAAUGAUUAAUAGGGAUAGUUGGGGGCAUUAGUAUUCAAUUGUCAGAGGUGAAAUUCUUGGAUUUAUUGAAGACUAACUACUGCGAAAGCAUUUGCCAAGGAUGUUUUCAUUAAUCAAGAACGAAAGUUAGGGGAUCGAAGACGAUCAGAUACCGUCGUAGUCUUAACCAUAAACUAUGCCGACUAGGGAUCGGAUGAUGUUAAUUUUUUAAUGACUCAUUCGGCGCCUUACGGGAAAC
rnacentral:rRNA from 1 species